GAUGAACGCUGGCGGCGUGCCUAAUACAUGCAAGUCGAGCGAAUGGAUUAAGAGCUUGCUCUUAUGAAGUUAGCGGCGGACGGGUGAGUAACACGUGGGUAACCUGCCCAUAAGACUGGGAUAACUCCGGGAAACCGGGGCUAAUACCGGAUAACAUUUUGAACCGCAUGGUUCGAAAUUGAAAGGCGGCUUCGGCUGUCACUUAUGGAUGGACCCGCGUCGCAUUAGCUAGUUGGUGAGGUAACGGCUCACCAAGGCAACGAUGCGUAGCCGACCUGAGAGGGUGAUCGGCCACACUGGGACUGCGACACGGCCCAGACUCCUACGGGAGGCAGCAGUGGGGAAACUUCCGCAAUGGACGAAAGUCUGACGGAGCAACGCCGCGUUAGUGAUGAAGGCUUUCGGGUCGUAAAACUCUGUUGUUAGGGAAGAACAAGUGCUAGUUGAAUAAGCUGGCACCUUGACGGUACCUAACCAGAAAGCCACGGCUAACUACGUGCCAGCAGCCGCCGUAA
rnacentral:rRNA from 1 species